GCGGGGCACGAUGGCGCACACCUUUGUCUCAUCUACUCCGGGAGGCUGAGACAGAAGGCUCACUUGAGUCUAGGAGUUCUGGCCUGUUGUGAGCUAUGCACUAAGCCUGGCAUCAAUAGGGUGAUCUCCUGGGAGCAGGGGACCACCAGGUUGCCUAAGGAGGAGUGACACGGCCCAGGUUGGAAACAGCAGGUCAAAACUCCUGUGCUGAUCAGUAGUGGGGUCGUGCCUAUGAAUAGCCACUGCACUCCAGCCUGGGCAAUACAGCGAGGCCCCGUCUCU
rnacentral:SRP_RNA from 1 species